rnacentral:lncRNA from 1 species
GUCAUUCGUCUUCGGGAUACUGUACGGUGCCUUGUGCCCAUAACGUCAGAUUUCCAACAUUUUGCAUCAUGGAGAUGGAAAGGUGUCAUCUAACCGUGUGACCGGAAAUUGCUGUCCGGAUGCUGAAAUGUCGUCUUGUACCAGAAACUUUAAUGCAAUGGUUUCAAUUACUAGAUUAAUUCAAGCUGUUGAAUGAUGGUGUUUGCUGCUCAAUGUGUAGAUGGUGAAAGGUGUGCUUGACUCGGAAUAAGCUGCUGUUGUCUCUGGUGUUGGUGAAUCUACAGUUACUUUGCUUACCUUCUUCAGCUUCUCUGGACACAUGUUUUUUUUACAGAUUCAACUUGUUAAACUGUUUGAUGCCAAAGUUAGUCAGAACUCCAACUGCUGCUGCCUCCUCACACCUACAGGCAGAAAAGUUACUAUAUUUCUUCAGAAAAUUGGAAAGCUGUUGGAGUAAUCUAGUCUUCAUCCUCACUUGAUUAAUUUCGUGCCACCUAGUGAAAGGCGUGACGAAUUCCAGUUGCGCUGCUGCGUGCUAAGCAAGCAAUAUCCAGCCGUUCCGCCGUUCAGUCAUUUGAAAAGGAAUCUAUUGGCUGUCGCUAGUUAGCUAAAAUGUCCACCAGGUGAUUUCGCAAGUAAAUAGCACCUUUGCCAAAAUCAUCGGACUUGAAAGUACCUGUACAUUUUGCCGAAAUGUUGUAUCUCGUACUGGCCUCGUGUGUCUUGCUGCCUGUAGACAAGUAGGUUAUGAUGUAGAUAAUUGCACAUCUGGGCUCCCUCUUCUCUGGUCCCGUUUCCCUAAUAAUUAACCAACGCCCGCCGGUGGUCGCUCACUCGCUAUGAAACUAGGAGGAUGAGGAGGGCUCUGGUCGAACGGGGACUUGAAAGGUUGAUGAUCCGAUGAAAACUUUUGGAAGAUCAUGAAUCUAAUUAGGAAUUCUACUUACGUCUAAUUCUAUGAUUAAUCACAACCUAGCAAAACUGGUCUCACACUCUUUUCUCUUAUUCCAUGUCCAGGGAAUGUAAAAAGAUAAUUAUUUAAACCUUGUCCGAAACAAGAGCUUACAUUGGUAAUAUGAAAAAUAAUGAUAAUAGAGAAUAAAUUAAUAAGAAAAAUGAAAUUAACCUGAAAUAUAUAUUAUGUUAUAGCAAAAUUUACAAAUAAAACAUUGAGAAUCUUCUAUUUAUUGUUCAUACUUACGUUUCGUUAUCCUUAUAAUAUGUUGCAUGGAUAUGACAUGACAGAUGAACAACACAUUAAUAUAUUCCACCAAGGACAGUAGCAGCUUUAAGCACAGUUAUCACCAUCUCCUCAUUGGGCAGCAUCUACAUUAACAGCUUGAACAUCAUACAACAUACAACCAUCAAAACCUGCAGGGAAAAAGACAGAUUUUGGUUAAAACAGGAAUAGAUAUACCACAGGCAAGGCCCACUGAAGAA